rnacentral:rRNA from 1 species
GGAUGAACGCUGGCGGCGUGCCUAAUACAUGCAAGUCGAGCGAACAGACGAGGAGCUUGCUCCUCUGACGUUAGCGGCGGACGGGUGAGUAACACGUGGAUAACCUACCUAUAAGACUGGGAUAACUUCGGGAAACCGGAGCUAAUACCGGAUAAUAUAUUGAACCGCAUGGUUCAAUAAAAAAAGACGGUUUUGCUGUCACUUAUAGAUGGAUCCGCGCCGCAUUAGCUAGUUGGUAAGGUAACGGCUUACCAAGGCAACGAUGCGUAGCCGACCUGAGAGGGUGAUCGGCCACACUGGAACUGAGACACGGUCCAGACUCCUACGGGAGGCAGCAGUAGGGAAUCUUCCGCAAUGGGCGAAAGCCUGACGGAGCAACGCCGCGUGAGUGAUGAAGGUCUUCGGAUCGUAAAACUCUGUUAUUAGGGAAGAACAAAUGUGUAAGUAACUAUGCACGUCUUGACG